UUUUGGAUACAGUGGAAACCGAACUUGAUUCUUUAAAACGAUGGUUUAAUCUGAACAAGCUGUCACUGAAUAUAAAUAAAACUAAAUAUAUAAUAUUUGGACAUCGGAAUUCUAAGAAUCUUAGACAUAUUACUUUAGACAAUAUUGAAAUAGAAAGAGUAUAUGAAAACACAUUUCUGGGAGUUGUCAUAGAUCACAAAUUAUGCUGGAAACCACAUGUUAACCAUAUUAAAACUAAAAUAUCAAAGUCCACAGCAAUUCUGAACAAAACCAGAUAUAUUCUUAAUACAAAUUCUUUACAUUUAUUAUAUCAAUCUCUCAUACUUCCAUAUGUAAGUUAUGGAGGGGAAGUUUGGGGGAAAACAUAUAAAACAAUUACGAAUCCAAUUUUCUUACUUCAAAAGAGAGCAAUCAGAAUUAUAAAUAGGGCAAAUUAUCGUGAAUCGACAAAUCAGUUAUUUAUAAACUUACAGUAUUUAAUAGCAUGUUGCCAGACUGUAUCCAGAGGCUGUUUCAAAUAAGAGAAUCCCAUUAUGAACUGAGGGGAAGCUGUAUUUUUACUAGACCAAAUAGCAGAACAAAUGUAAAACAAAGAAGUGUCUCGGUGUAUGGAGUUAAACUGUGGAACGAAUUAGAAAUUGACUUG